rnacentral:rRNA from 1 species
UACGUAGGGGCGAGCGUUGUCCGGAUUCAUUGGGCGUAAAGAGCUCGUAGGCGGCUUGGCAAGUCGGAUGUGAAACUCCAGGCUCAACCCGGAGACGCCACCCGAUACUGUCGUGACUGGAGUCCGGUAGGGGAGUGGGGAAUUCCUGGUGUAGCGGUGAAAUGCGCAGAUAUCAGGAGGAACACCGGUGGCGAAGGCGCCACUCUGGGCCGGUACUGACGCUGAGGAGCGAAAGCGUGGGUAGCAAACAGG